rnacentral:rRNA from 1 species
AGUGGCGGACGGGUGAGUAACGCGUGGGUAACCUGCCUCAUACAGGGGGAUAACAGUUAGAAAUGACUGCUAAUACCGCAUAAGACCACAGCACCGCAUGGUGCAGGGGUAAAAACUCCGGUGGUAUGAGAUGGACCCGCGUCUGACUAGGUAGUUGGUGGGGUAACGGCCUACCAAGCCGACGAUCAGUAGCCGACCUGAGAGGGUGACCGGCCACAUUGGGACUGAGACACGGCCCAA